AGGAAACCUUUCUUGACUCCACGUUCAGGUGUUGGAGGAUGUGGAGCUGUUGGUGCCUGAGAUCUGAGCACAGCCCAAAUGAGGCAACACAAAGCCCCAGGACAUUGUUUUCCAGACCAAGAACUGAUGCUUUUGGCUGCUGCAGAAGCUCCCCCAUCUCGUCUGAAGCUGCUGAAAAGAUAAUGCCACACCUCCUGCAGUUCAGCAUCCCAAGGAGUGCAGGAUUUGGGAGGAUCAGGCAGCAAGGAGCUGGACUCCUCAAAACUUUCUCUUCCCUGAUGGUCAUUUCUGGCUGUCCCAACUAUCCCAGGAGCUGUUUUGAGUUUAAAUUGUCACAAGCUGAGUGAGUGAACAUCCUGAAGUUGCAUCCUUUCACAGGCUCCCGUGUGAGGCUUUUGAUUGUUCCUUUUCCAGCCUGUGCCAGUGCCUUGAUGUUCUCCCCCCACGAGGGAAUUAAUGGCUGGGAAGGAAUGGAGAGCACAGCACGAAGAGCAGGCAUGGUCCAGGCCUCACAGGACUAAUUAUGCUCUUAAAGGGACUGAGUUGCUAAUUUGGGAUGGUCACAGGAGCUGCUCUGGAAAUGCCUGCAAGAGGUAGGAUUAUCCCAUUAUCCCUUAUUGCCUCUUCUCCUCCUGCACCUUCCCAAUGCCAGCUUGUUUUUUAUCAACCCACUGGAGAACCAGACACUUCUAUUAAUGCAAAUAACCCUGAGCUGCAUUACCAUGAUAGGAGGAAUAAAGAGAGAUCAGUUUAAAGGAAGAUUAAUCUGGACACUGAGGGAGGCAGAGCAAGGCAGGAGUGUCCACCUACAACCAUCUGACAGGAAAACCUGAUUUAAACCUGAUUUACACCAGAAAAAUCCCUCCAGUCUUGUGUACACAUUUAGGAUUUGUUGGGACCAUUAUUAACCCUUAUUGCAGCCUCUGGGUCAGCUCCCAGUUAUGCAGGUAGAACCCACACUUUAACAGCUUAAAAUACAUACUUGUGCUGUGCCUGUGUUCCCAAGGAAAAGGUUUCAGUGCUGGAAAAUCUCAGGUUUUGUGGGAAGCUGCAGUGUGUAAGGAACAGGCAACUGCAGCAGCAAACAGGACCUGCAAUUUAAUGCUAAAUAGUGAUACACUGAAUAAAUUAUUAUAAAAAACUAACUCUUCUUCAGUGUAAUUACAGUGGGUUUUUUUCCACUUUAGGGAAGAGGAAACAGCCUGAUUGGAUAGAUGGCAAAUGAAGCCAGGGAAAUGGAGGUGGAUUUCUGCCCAUCCUGAUGCAAAGCCAAGCAGAGGAGGAACUCAGCAGCUUGAGCACAACCAUUUUUAGAUGUGUUAAACUCCCAAUGUGUGCAAAUGUGUAACAGGAACAAGCAAUAACACAUUGAGAUAGUCUAUUAUCCCUCAAUGUAAUAAAUAUUUUAUUAGAGCCAUAGAAAAGAAUGCAUACAGAUAACCAUAGGAUACACACACAACUGGAAGUUCAAGGAUAAAUUUCAACCUUUUCAAUAUGAAACAAGGUACUGGGUACGUAUCUCAUGGAGAUAUAGAACUAGAAAUCAAGUAAUAAUACAAUGUAAGUGCAUGAAAAAUGGGCAGUACAGGAACCUGGACUAGAAUUUUGUGAAACAAGAGAAAGAGUCACCCUUUGUUGCAUGAAAUAGAACUAUUUACUCACUAGGAACACCUGGAUUUCCAUGUCCCACCCACCCCCCUGUUUGCAAGUGUCUGAAAACAACACUGAAAAGCAACUAAUUUUAAACUCAUUUAUAGCUCUCUAUGUACAGUAUUUACAGCUCCUGCUUUCCUCAGCAGCACUUGGUCUCAUCUGGAGCUCAUCUGCCAGCUCAAUGCACAUCAAGGUAUUUUUUCCAAAGUGCUACCAUAAUGUUAUUAAUCCUGGUUCCCCCUUUGUAGUUCUGUGUGUUGUAAUAAUAUUGUGAAAUUUAAAAACCCCAGUGUUUAAGAGGAGAUGAUGCUUUAUGUUAUCUGAACAGGGAUGGUGUGACCUCUCUAAAAAGGUUGAUUUGACUGAAGCCACAACUCUAGAAGUCAAAUGGACCAGGCUGAAUGUAUCUUUAAUUUAGUGCCAUGAAAGAAAGCACAGAUUAUUCUUCAAUAGCAAUUCUGAAGUAUUUUGUUGUAUAAUUUUUGAAUAUCCUACUAUUGCCGUGAACUUCCCAGACUCAUGUGACAGCAGUGGGGUGCAGCUGAGAGCCAGAGCAGGUGGAACAGCUCAGAAGUGGUUCAAGAGCAGCAGGAAGGAGAGGUCUGGCUGUGGGUCUGAAUUCAGGGUGUUUGCAGUGCAAUGAGCAGGAGGCUUUGGGGCUGCAGGGCUGGGAGCACCAGGGAAGGAGGGAGGGAGGGAGGGAUGGGUGUCCCUGUCCCCAAGGCCAUGGUGGGUGCCCCAGGGGUGCCAGGUGGGCACCUCAGCCCCUGGACAGGGGCAGCAGGGCAAGCACAGCCCCCUCAGGGUGGGAGAGCUUGGUUGUGAACACAGAACCUGGGUAGGGAAGGCAAGGUGGGGAGGUGAGGACACGAAUUUCAGAAUUCACUGAGAAGCAGCACAAAACCAUCCCCAGGUCACAGCUGGGAGAUCAUUUCUCAGGAGCAGCACGGAGCCUUUGCCCUGCUCCAGGUGGGAUUUCUUCUGGGAUUUCUUUCCAUUUAGAGCAGCUCCCACAAAGGGCAGCAGGGAAAUGAUCCAAACUCCAGGGUGAUGGCACUGCCUUGGGAGCAGCCAUAAUCAACUCCAGCUGAUAACAGCCCCAGCUCUGAUUUCAUCCUUUCCAUGCCAGAUGUUAUUUUAGCAAUGCAGAACAAACCCAGAACAAUUCAGGGCUGCUGCAAAAAUGUUUUUUCUCACGCUCCCUCAUUGCCCUGACCUCACAGUGCCAUCCCUACCCCUCUCUCACACUGUAUCUGAAGUAUGUAACAUGUAAACUCCUUUGGUUCAAGUAUUAAGGCAUUUUAGAUUCCUUUUUAAAGGAUUUGCUAAACUUUACAUGGAAUUUUUACUUCAACUUACAGUGAAAUAUAAAGAAUUUAAAAACACGUCAGGAUAGAAGAAAAAACAUGCAUUAACCACUGCAGUUUUUUUUAAAAAAUGCACUUUAGUAACCAAUUUUUUUUUUUCCCCCAGCAAAUGCAAAUAUAU